rnacentral:tRNA from 1 species
ACGGGUGUAGCUCAAUGGGUAGAGCAGCGGUCUCCAAAACCGCAGGUUGGGGGUUCGAGUCCCUCCACCCGUG